UACGGAGGAGGCAAGCGUUAUCCGGAAUUAUUGGGCGGAAAGCGUCCGCAGGUGGCGAUUCAAGUCUGCGGGCAAAGACUGGGGCUUAACCCUGGAAAGGCCGUGGAAACUGAAUAGCUAGAGUGCAGUAGGGGUAGAGGGAAUUCCCGGUGUAGCGGUGAAAUGCGUAGAGCUCGGGAAGAACAUCGGUGGCGAAAGCGCUCUGCUGGACUGCAACUGACACUCAGGGACGAAAGCUAGGGGAGCGAAUGGG
rnacentral:rRNA from 1 species